CAUACCCCUUAACCUAAAACCCUACCACUAACCUAGACCUAUAUAUAUUAAACAAAGCCUAAAAUUAAAGGGGGGAUCAACACAAAUAGAGAGGGAGGAGAACGACAAAAAGCAACAGAAAAAGCUGCGCAUAGAGAAAAAAAGAAAGCUAAGAAAAGCUGCGCACAGAAUGACCCACCCCCUAACUUCGUCUUCUCCAAACGACCCUCCCUGAAGCUUCUGCUUCUUUGAACUCACCUUCACGCAAGCCUUAACCAGCCAUACUCUAUCAUCUCCAUUACCUCACACAUCACCCGGAACACAAACGCACACACAACGCCCCAGCGACAACGACCACACCAGCCGUCCCACCACCAUAAUCGUCGGUAAAUCCCCAUUGAUGGCGAGCUUCUCAAAAGUUUCACCGUUAUACUCAAAAUGAGCAGAUCUAGAGCAACAAAACACACACACUUCUCCUCUGCUGAUUUUCUUUCUCUUUGAUUUCGAUUCGAUUUUUGGUUUCAAAUUCAUGGAAUUCAUUUGUGUUUGAAAGUUGUUUUGCAUUCUGGUUGGUUCAAGGUCGUGGGUCGUCAUUGUUUGUCGAGGUUCGGAAUGGUGGUUCGCAGCUUCGGAUGAUUUUGAUCGCUGUUUUGGAUUCGAUUGGGGCUUUGGUUUAUUGACACCCUUGUAACUGUUGGAAUUCUCAUUAAUCAAAGGCAAAAUUUCAAUUCGUGGCAGUUUCGGUUCAAAUCGGGCCUUUACCUGGGUCAAAAAUCCUGAUGUUCUCUACUAUAGAACUGUCUACGACUAUAUGUUGUUGCUGAAUAGACUUUAAUUAGCUGAGAAAAGGGAGGAAACUUGAUGUUACAGUUGUUAGUUUGGCGUGAACCAUGGAUGACAUAGCUCUUGCAUCUUUAUUGUAAAAACAUAUCUUGGAAGCCAACUCCAAACGGAAUGAAUGUUGCAUAGGGUCCUGUAUCUUAGCUAACUA